UGAGAAAUACUGGAUUCUCUCUCAACAUCCAUCUGUAUUGCUUUAGCUCAGUAACACAUGUGCAUGGACGGGUAGGUCUGAAUUUCAGCUGCAUAUUGGCCCUUUUAGAGUUGAAGCACAGCCUCUCUGUCUCUCUUUCUCUCACCCCCAACAAUACAACUGUUGAGAGCUGCAUCUGCUCACCAAAACCAUGUCUCUAACACCUUUGAUGUUUCGGUCAAUGGUGAGGCUUGUGACAGCUAUGGUGGGUGAUCCAGCUGCCUCAGUCACAACCUUGCUCUACUACAGCGACCUUCUUCCUCAAAACGUCGUCUUAGAGAGAAUGGUUCGACAUGAACUGCUUGAUCAAGAGAAUUACUUGUUUCAUUUCCUCAUCAACUUCUUGAGAUGUUUUUGGUAGAUAUAUAUAUAUAUAGAGAGAGAGAGAGAGAGAGAUCAUCAAGUCAUGAUCUACAUGACCACAAAGGUUCAUCAACUCAAUCAAUCUCUCCAAUUAAUGGUCCAUAUUCAUGUGUGAAUCAUGAACAUUGACGGGUGGUUGUGAUUUUUUGCGGACCCGGCCUUUUUUUUCUUUGUAAUACUUAAACCAUUGAUUUUGGGUGAGUAUAUUUUGUAUCCGAUUUUGAAUAUUCUUAA